rnacentral:rRNA from 1 species
UGCUACAAUGGCGUAUACAGAGGGCGGCGAGCCAGCGAUGGGGAGCGAAUCUCAGAAAGUACGUCUAAGUCCGGAUUGGAGUCUGCAACUCGACUCCAUGAAGUCGGAAUCGCUAGUAAUCGCAAAUCAGAAUGUUGCGGUGAAUACGUUCCCGGGCCUUGUACACACCGCCCGUCACACCAUGGGAGUGGGUUGUACCAGAAGUAGAUAGCUUAACCGCAAGGGGGGCGUUUACCACGGUAUGAUUCAUGACUGGGGUGAAGUCGUAACAAGGUAACCGUAGGGGAACCUGCGGUUGGAUCACCUCCUUACC